CAAUAGCGUAUAUUAAAGUUGUUGCGGUUAAAAAGCUCGUAGUUGGAUUUCGGGGCAGCCUGGCUGGUCCGCCGCAAGGCGAGUACUGGUCAGCCGCCCUUCCUCUCGAAAGCCCCGACUGCUCUUUAUUGCAGUGGUCGGGUAGUUCGGGACGUUUACUUUGAAAAAAUUAGAGUGUUCAAGGCAGGCCUACGCCUGAAUACAUUAGCAUGGAAUAAUGGAAGAGGACCUCGGUCCUAUUUUGUUGGUUUCCAGGACCGAAGUAAUGAUUAAGAGGGACAGUUGGGGGCAUUCGUAUUUAAUUGUCAGAGGUGAAAUUCUCGGAUUUAUGAAAGACGAACAACUGCGAAAGCAUUUGCCAAGGAUGUUUUCAUUAA
rnacentral:rRNA from 1 species